UAAGCGGAGGAAAAGAAACUAACAAGGAUUCCCCUAGUAACUGCGAGUGAAGCGGGAAAAGCUCAAAUUUAAAAUCUGGUGGUCUUUGGCCGUCCGAGUUGUAAUUUAGAGAAGCGUCUUCCGCGCUGGACCGUGCACAAGUCUCCUGGAAUGGAGCGUCAUAGAGGGUGAGAAUCCCGUCUUUGGCACGGACACACCAGGGCUUUUGUGAUGCGCUCUCGAAGAGUCGAGUUGUUUGGGAAUGCAGCUCAAAAUGGGUGGUGAACUCCAUCUAAAGCUAAAUAUUGGCGAGAGACCGAUAGCGAACAAGUACCGUGAGGGAAAGAUGAAAAGCACUUUGGAAAGAGAGUGAAACAGUACGUGAAAUUGUUGAAAGGGAAACGCUUGAAGUCAGUCGCGUCGACCGAGACUCAGCCUUGCCUUGGCUUGGUGUACUUCUCGGCUGACGGGUCAGCAUCAAUUUUGCCCCUUGGAUAAUGGUGAGGGAAAUGUGACACCUUUACGGUGUGUUAUAGUCUCUUGUCGCAUGCAAGGGUCGGGAUUGAGGAACUCAGCACGCGCCCUUGGGCGUCGGGGCUUUUGCCCACGAUACGUGCUUAGGAUGUUGGCAUAAUGGCUUUAAACGACC
rnacentral:rRNA from 1 species